UAGUGCUUGCUAGCAGAGGAGGGUCAGUACACGUCAGACAGGGAGCUGUGGUGUUUAAGGGCGCUGUGUGCAGCUUCCUUAUUUAACCUGGAUUUUCUCUCAACAAGACAGUGAAGCGUGCCAUGGGUGCCUGUGUGUGCUGGUGCAGGCGUAGUGCCUCCCGGGAGGUGCCUGGAUCUGCUCAGGAGAGCCAGGAAGGCUCAUAAUACUGGUGCAACGAGCACACUACUUAGCUGAGUUCUGCAGAGUGUUGAAGUUUUGGACUCGGCAUGACACAGCGCCUGGCGAAGCUGUAUGUAAGCUACAACACGAGCCAAUGUUACCUGGACGUCCAUUUGUAGGAGUACCAAACCCAAGACCGUCUCCUCCUUCUUGCCUUCCCUCUAUAUCUGACCCGGACACCAUGGCCCGGCAGCAACCCCAUUUCAUGAACUACAUGACGCUGGCUGACGUAUUCCUGACACGGCCGUAACAGGAGGCAGAGAGCAGGAGCAAGAGUCAGAUGGUGAAGGUAGGGGUGAUGGUGAAGGUGGAGGGGUGUCGGAGGGGCUUCGUGUAGGAGUACCUCGACAGGGUGUAUGAGCAGGUGCAAAUGAUGUUCAGCAAAGCCAAGACAUUCGCCAAGCAAACCAUCUAUGAGUGUGAGAGAAGUAAUCAUUGUAAAGAGGUGAAGAGCAGCACCAGCAGCAGCAGCAGCAUGGCAGAGCAGAGGCCCGAGUGGGGAUAGGAGGCGAACGGUGGAGGCAGAAGGCAUCCUAUCCAGCAAAAGAUAGGGUCACUUUUACCUCGCAAGACGAGUAUUGUGUGUGUGUGUAUUUAACUAGUUGUAUUGUGCAGGAUACAAGCCAAAGCUCAUCCACUUUCUAUUUCAACCUGUAUAUACUGUUGGCCACAACUACCUCUUCCUUCAAAUUAUUCCAGAUUUUAGUAGUUCAAUACAGAAAGCUGUAUUUCUUGAUGUCUCUUGAACAUCCGCUCUUCUUUAUUUUCUUUUCUUGCCCCCUCGUCUGUCUGUCUUCCUUCUCCGUCUAGGGUACCAAGUCAUUUUGGUCUAUUUUUUCUGUAUUGUUUACUAAUUUGUACAUUGUUAUCAUGUCUCCUCUUUCUCCUCUCUUUUAUAGUGUUGAUUAUCACAUCUCUUCAAAUCUUUUUUCAUAGCUUAGGUCUUGCAAUUCUGGUGCCAUCUUUGUUGCUGUCCUCUGUAUUGUUUUUUAGUUUCCAUAUAUUUUUACUUGUAUGGGGAGCCCAAACUAUUGCUGUGUAUUCCAGUUUAAAAUGUAUCAUGCUUGCUAUAAUUUUCUUCAUCAUUUCUUUUCUAAAAUAGUUAAACACCACCCUAAUGUUUGUUAACAAGCUGUGUGCAGAACCGAAUAUCCCGUUUAUGUGUGUUUCAGGUGAUGGUGAGUGCGAGUGUGUGUAAGGGAGUGUGAGUGAUGUGUGCAAGGUGCCUCAGUCCCUGCAUGUGUGUAAUAGUGCGUCUUGCUCUAUCUGGGUUUCAUGACGUUGGAUUGCCAGCCUUCUGGUGUAGUGUAUGGAGAUGGAUGUGAUGUGUGUAGGGUGCCCCAGUCCCUGCACGUGUGUAGCAGUGUGUGUUGGUCUGUCUGGGCCUCAUGGUGUGGGAUUGUCAGCCUGCUGGUGUAGUGUCUGGAGAUGGAUUUGAUGUGUGCAAGGUCCCCCAGUCCCUGCGUAUGUGUAGCAGUGUGUGUUGCUCUGUCUGGGCCUCAUGGUGUGGGAUUGUCAGCCUGCUGGUGUAGUGUUUGGAGAUGGAUGUGAUGUGUGUAGUGUGUCUCAGUCCCUGGAUGUGUUUAGCAGUGUGUGGUGCUCUGUCUGGGACUCCUGGUGUGGGAUUGCCAGCCUGCUGGUAUAGUGUAUGGAGAUGGAGGUGAUGUGUACAGAGUGCCCCAGUCCCUGGAUGUAUGUAGCAAUAUGUGGUGCUCUGUCUGGGCCUCAUGGUGUGGGAUUGCCAGCCUGCUGGUGUAGUGUUUGGAGAUAGAUGUGAUGUGUGCUUGGACCCUCUGUCCCUGGAUGUGUGUAGCAGUGUGUGUUGCUCUGUCUGGGCCUCGUGGUGUGGGAUUGUCAGCCUUUUGGUGUUGUGUUUGGAGAUGAAUGUGAUGUGUGCGAGGUGCUCCAGUCCCUGAGUGUGUGUAGCAGUGUGUGUUUCUCUGUCUGGGCCUCAUGGUCCGGGAUUCUCAGCCUGCUAGGGUACUGUUUGGAGAUGGAUGUGAUGUGUGCAGGGUGUCCCAGUCCCUGGAUGUGUUUAGCAGUGUGUGUUGCUCUGUCUGGGCCUCAUGGUGUGAGAUUGCCAGGCUGGUGGUAUAGUGUAUGGAGAUGGAUGUGAUGUGUGCUGGUUGCCUCUGUCCCUGGAUGUGUGUAGCAGUGUGUGUUGCUCUUUCUGGGCCUCACGGUGUGGGAUUGUCAUCCUGCUGGUGUAGUGGUUGGAGAUGGAUGUGAUGUGUGCAAGGUGCCCCAGUCCCUGUGUGUGUGUAGUAGUGUGUGUUGCUCUGUCUGUGCUUCAUGGUGUGUGAUUGUCAUCCUGCUAGUGUAGUGUUUGGAGAUGGAUUUGAUGUGUGCAGGGUGCCUCAGUCCCUGGAUAUGUUUAGCAGUGUGUGGUGCUCUGUCUGGGCCUCAUGGUAUGGGAUUACCAGCCUGCUGGUAUAGUGUUUGGAGAUGGAUACAUAAUUCAAGACUGUUUAUCAUAUGCAUUAUUUUCUUUAUUUUUUUAUUUACUAUUAUCAUAUUUAUUUUUUAAUUAUUAAAGGGAUGCUGGUGUAGUGCAUUAAGAUGGAUGUGAUGUUUGCAAGGUACCCCAAUCCCUGUGUGUGUGUAAUCUGUCUGGGCCUCAUGGUGUGGGAUUGUCAGCCUUCUGGUGUAGUGUAUGGAGACUGAUGUGAUGUGUGCAAGGUGCCCCAGUCCCUGCUUGUGUGUUGCUCUCUCUGGGCCUCAUGGUGUGGGAUUGCCAUCCUGCUGGUGUAGUGUAGUAGUGUUUGGAGAUGGAUAUGUUUAUCAUAUGCAUUAUUUAUUAUUAUUUAUUUAUUUACUAUCAUAAUUUUUUUCAUUUUUAAAGGGGAGUACAUUUCCAUUCUCACCUUUUCAAUCCUUUGUGUUUGGGACUCAGUAGUUAGUGCUUCUACUGACAAAAAAAACGGGAGAUAUGGUCUUGUUUCUUUACUGUGGAAAACUGUCCUUGUGAGUGUGACGUGCUGAUUGAUCUUGUGGGUCACAGGUCUCGCCUUCUGUCACCAAACAAACAAUAAAGAAUUGAUAUUAUUUCGUGAAUACAUUUAUUUCCUUUAACCUAAAUAUGUAAUAAUACGGUUUUAUCUGUGUCUCCUGAUGUUAUCGCACUUUUGGGUAAUUCUUGAUUCAUUUUGUUCUUGCCAUUAUCGCAAUACUUGAUAACAAUCACUAUUAUGCAAGUAUCGCCAAAUUUACCGAAACAUCAGGAGAUCUACUGAGAUUCUUAUGGAUCUCAGGAGAUUCCGAAUUAUUACCAUAUGCUACACAAUUUAAUAGGCUCAGAAAAUCUACAGAAAUUGUGCUUCAGGCAGUUGUAUAUCCAUUAAAGUUGUAAGUCUAAGAGAGAAAGACCAAAUUAAUACAAGAGAACAAAUUAUGAGUGAAAAAGAAAGAAUAGAGACGAAGAAUUAAAUAAAUACAUAAUAUAAUACCGAACAAAUUAUUAAGAAAAAAAAUAUAUAUAUAUAUGUAUAUUUAUUGGAGGGCCCAGUAACAUUUUAUACACUUUGACACAAAACGUACAUUAACCUUUAGGAGACAAAGUUAUAUAGAUAUUUUAAUGAGUCUACCUUAUUUUGUUCAAGACAAAUAAACGUUCGAUAAUAAAAAGAGCCUUGAAAUCACACAAGCUUUUCAUUAACUUCACAGAUCGUCAUACAAUAAGUGAAGAGGUAUAGAGUGUAAACACCGCCAUGACCAUUUCAAUUUUGGCGCUUAAAUUAGAGAUGUAGAUAUUUUGACAAUUACAAUUAUAAUGGCUUAUAAUUUAAUUUUACAAAUUCAUACUUCAUUAUAUUUCACUUACUUUAUUUUGUAUUACAAUAGCAUACGUUGGUGGACAUUAUUAUAAGCGGAAAAUGUAACUUGUGGAUUUUUGGGUACGUAGUGCUUGCUAGCAGAGGAGGGUCAGUACACGUCAGACAGGGAGCUGUGGUGUUUAAGGGCGCUGUGUGCAGCUUCCUUAUUUAACCUGGAUUUUCUCUCAACAAGACAGUGAAGCGUGCCAUGGGUGCCUGUGUGUGCUGGUGCAGGCGUAGUGCCUCCCGGGAGGUGCCUGGAUCUGCUCAUGAGAGCCAGGAAGGCUCAUAAUACUGUAUUGUAGUUGUGGGGCUCAGCAUGACAGCGCCUGGCGAAGCUCUAUGUAAGGUACAACGCGAGCCAAUGUUACCUGGACGUCCAUUUGUAGGAGUACCAAACCCAAGACUGCCUUAUCCCCAUCUGCCUCCCCCCCACUCCCCCCGUACUCCAUGGCCCAGCAGUGACAUCAUUCCAUGUUUAAUAUGAUGCCAACUGACGUAUUCCUGACACGGCUGUACCAGGAACAAGAAUCUGAUGGUGAAGAAAGGGGUGACGGUGAAGGUGGAGAGGUGCUGGAAGGGCUUCGUGUAGGGCAGGUGUUCUUAACCUUUUGAUGGUUCCAUACCCCCAGUGGAUUGUCGAAUAUGGUCCCAUACCCCCUUCACUUGACUGUUCAAAUAAUUAUCACCAAUCCUAUUAUUU